rnacentral:rRNA from 1 species
AUUGAACGCUGGCGGCAGGCUUAACACAUGCAAGUCGAACGAGUGGCGGACGGGUGAGUAAUGUCUGGGAAACUGCCUGAUGGCGGGGGAUAACUACUGGAAACGGUAGCUAAUACCGCAUACCAUCGGAUGUGCCCAGAUGGGAUUAGCUAGUUGGUGGGGUAAAGGCUCACCAAGGCGACGAUCCCUAGCUGGUCUGAGAGGAUGACCAGCCACACUGGAACUGAGACACGGUCCAGACUCCUACGGGAGGCAGCAGUGGGGAAUAUUGCACAAUGGGCGCAAGCCUGAUGCAGCCAUGCCGCGUGUAUGAAGAAGGCCUUCGGGUUGUAAAGUACUUUCAGCGGGGAGGCGUUACCCGCAGAAGAAGCACCGGCUAACUACGUGCCAGCAGCCGCGGUAAUAC